rnacentral:tRNA from 1 species
AAAUUAGAUUAUAUUACUUACACUAAUAAACAGUUUAUUAAAUUAAACCUAAUUUA